rnacentral:rRNA from 1 species
UGGGGGAUAUUGCACAAUGGGCGAAAGCCUGAUGCAGCGACGCCGCGUGGGGGAUGAAGGCCUUCGGGUUGUAAACUUCUUUUGCUCUGAACAAGGCGCACCAUGGGGUGUGUCGAGUGUAGGGGUUGAUUAGCGCCGGCUAACUCCGUGCCAGCAGCCGCGGUAAUACGUAGGGCGCGUGCGUUGUCCGGAAUUAUUGGGCGUAAUGGGCUUGUAGGUGGCUGGUUGCGUCUGUCGUGAAAGCUCAUGGCUUAACUGUGGGUUUGCGGUGGGUACGGGCUGGCUUGAGUGCAGUAGGGGAGGCUGGAAUUCCUGGUGUAGCGGUGGAAUGCGCAGAUAUCAGGAGGAAUACCGGUGGCGAAGGCGGGUCUCUGGGCUGUUACUGACACUGAGGAGCGAAAGCAUGGGGAGCGAACAGG